rnacentral:rRNA from 1 species
GGUAUUCUGACUGUGCUAAGGUAGCAUAAUAAUUUGUUGCUUAAUUGGUAACUGGAAUGAACGGUUGGUCUAGUUUAGUGAGUGUGUUUGUUUACAUAGAAAAUUAAAGUCAAGGUAAGAAUUCUUUGAUAGUCUAGGGGACGAUAAGACCCUAUAAGCUUUAUAAAGAUAAUAACGAUUUCGUUUUUUGAGUUAAUUUAUUUUACUGGGGCGGUACUGGUACUUUAACUAUCAGUUAGUUUAAGAUCCUAAAUAUAUAGAGGAGACGUAAAAGUUACUUUAGGGAUAACAGUGCAAUAUUUUUGGAGAGGUCAUAUCGAUAAAUAUAUUUGCAACCUCGAUGUUGAAUUAAAAUUUCUACGUGAAGCAGAAGGUGCGCUAGAAGGUUUGUUCAACCUUUAAAUUUUUACAUGAUCUGAGUUCAAACCGG